rnacentral:lncRNA from 1 species
CUUCGAGGAUGUCAGGUCUUUGAUGGCACUUGCCAGAGUCUCAUGGACAGGAGAUAGUGGCCCAGGAGGUUGGCUGCAGGGCCAGCUCAGAGGAUCAGGUCAUUUCUAGUCGUACACUACAGCUCAAGCAGUCCGACUCUGUUAUUGACAGAACUGGAGGCAAAACCAAUGGUGACUCACCCAUAUGGCACCCAGAUUCAGGGGUGGGUCUCACCCAGACCAGGAUUUGACGUGGGCAUGAGAGGGGCAUGCCCUGGCAGACUGGAGCAUGUCCCUUUCCAGGACGAUAGCAGCAGCUGACGUAGGCGCAUGCCUGCUGAAUGUUCUGCCGAUGCCUUUCAAUGUUAGAGGUCAAUCCUGUGCAGACACCACAGUCUUGCAAUCCUGUGCAAGACACGACAGUGCAUACCUACACUGGGACGGCGGAACAAGGAGAAUCAGAAGUUCAAAGUUAUCCUCGGAUGCAUAGAAAAUUUGAGACCAGCCUAGGGUAUAUGAGAUCCUGUCACAUAAUAUGCAUAUAAUAAGCCUCUUUCCAGCCCCAGAAGAUCAAUUCCCAGCAGGCUUCAACACAUGACGGAAGAAGGAUCAAUUUUAAUGGCACCAACACUAGCCUGUCAUCUUCAUCAUCUUUGUCUUCCCAGAACAGAAUGGCAGUGGAUCAGAGGCAGAGCCUGCCAAUCCCCCUCAUCUUCUCAGACACCAUCAGGCUGUUUUGCUGGGAUACCUGGACUGGGGUCAGAGCUGGGGUGAGAUGCUGGCCUCCAAAGAAAU